GAUGAACGCUGGCGGUAUGCCUAACACAUGCAAGUCGUACGAGAGUUUUUAACUCUAGUGGCGGACGGGUGAGUAACACGUGAGAAUUUGCCUUUAGGAGGGGGAUAACAAUUGGAAACGAAUGCUAAUACCCCAUAUGCUUUUGAGUGAAAUGGAUUUUAUCCGCCUAGAGAGAAGCUCGCGGCUGAUUAGCUUGUUGGUAAGGUAAGAGCUUACCAAGGCGACGAUCAGUAUCUGGUUUGAGAGGACGAUCAGACACACUGGAACUGAGACACGGUCCAGACUCCUACGGGAGGCAGCAGUGGGGAAUUUUCCGCAAUGGGCGAAAGCCUGACGGAGCAAUACCGCGUGAGGGAAGAAUGCCUAUGGGUUGUAAACCUCUUUUUUCAGGGUAGGAACGAAAAUGACGUGUACCUGAAGAAUAAGCACCGGCUAACUACGUG
rnacentral:rRNA from 1 species